ACUUAGAAUUUGUAGCCAACUACAUCCACAUUCAUUUGAAUGUCUCUUAGAAAUAAUGAAAACUGUGACUGAAAUAUAGGUCUUUGGUGGUUACUGCCAUAAAAGAAAACAUAAAAAAGGGAGGAAAGAUGAGUUUACAAUGAAACUCUAUUGUAUUUGAUUCUGGGCCAUGCUGACUACAUUAUUAAAGCACUUUUAAUAUUUAGGCCUUAAGGAAAAGAUAAAUUUCAGCGCAUCAGUGAUGAAAUACAUUUCAACACAAGGCAUUAGAAGAAGACUUUGGAUGUACUCACCUGGACAUCCAGGACAAGUGCAACUACAAACAGCAAUGACCAAGACUAUCAGAUGUGAUGUGAUAUCCAUUUAUGAUGUCACAACAAACUUGGGAGCAAUGCCAACAGCAAAUGACCCCAACAACCAGAAGAAAAUCCUCCUGCAAAACAUGCCCAGGAUAGUAA